rnacentral:rRNA from 2 species
AUCAUGAUUUACAUUUGAGUGAGUGGCGAACUGGUGAGUAACACGUGGGAAACCUGCCCAGAAGCGGGGGAUAACACCUGGAAACAGAUGCUAAUACCGCAUAACAACUUGGACCGCAUGGUCCGAGUUUGAAAGAUGGCUUCGGCUAUCACUUUUGGAUGGUCCCGCGGCGUAUUAGCUAGAUGGUGGGGUAACGGCUCACCAUGGCAAUGAUACGUAGCCGACCUGAGAGGGUAAUCGGCCACAUUGGGACUGAGACACGGCCCAAACUCCUACGGGAGGCAGCAGUAGGGAAUCUUCCACAAUGGACGAAAGUCUGAUGGAGCAACGCCGCGUGAGUGAAGAAGGGUUUCGGCUCGUAAAACUCUGUUGUUAAAGAAGAACAUAUCUGAGAGUAACUGUUCAGGUAUUGACGGUAUUUAACCAGAAAGCCACGGCUAACUACGUGCCAGCAGCCGCGGUAAUACGUAGGUGGCAAGCGUUGUCCGGAUUUAUUGGGCGUAAAGCGAGCGCAGGCGGUUUUUUAAGUCUGAUGUGAAAGCCUUCGGCUCAACCGAAGAAGUGCAUCGGAAACUGGGAAACUUGAGUGCAGAAGAGGACAGUGGAACUCCAUGUGUAGCGGUGAAAUGCGUAGAUAUAUGGAAGAACACCAGUGGCGAAGGCGGCUGUCUGGUCUGUAACUGACGCUGAGGCUCGAAAGUAUGGGUAGCAAACAGGAUUAGAUACCCUGGUAGUCCAUACCGUAAACGAUGAAUGCUAAGUGUUGGAGGGUUUCCGCCCUUCAGUGCUGCAGCUAACGCAUUAAGCAUUCCGCCUGGGGAGUACGGCCGCAAGGCUGAAACUCAAAGGAAUUGACGGGGGCCCGCACAAGCGGUGGAGCAUGUGGUUUAAUUCGAAGCUACGCGAAGAACCUUACCAGGUCUUGACAUACUAUGCAAAUCUAAGAGAUUAGACGUUCCCUUCGGGGACAUGGAUACAGGUGGUGCAUGGUUGUCGUCAGCUCGUGUCGUGAGAUGUUGGGUUAAGUCCCGCAACGAGCGCAACCCUUAUUAUCAGUUGCCAGCAUUAAGUUGGGCACUCUGGUGAGACUGCCGGUGACAAACCGGAGGAAGGUGGGGAUGACGUCAAAUCAUCAUGCCCCUUAUGACCUGGGCUACACACGUGCUACAAUGGAUGGUACAACGAGUUGCGAACUCGCGAGAGUAAGCUAAUCUCUUAAAGCCAUUCUCAGUUCGGAUUGUAGGCUGCAACUCGCCUACAUGAAGUCGGAAUCGCUAGUAAUCGCGGAUCAGCAUGCCGCGGUGAAUACGUUCCCGGGCCUUGUACACACCGCCCGUCACACCAUGAGAGUUUGUAA